GUUAGGAUAUCUGAUCAGUGCAGACGAUUGGAACCGAAGGGACUGUUUCCAUGCUGUACAUCUGUGACUCUAUGUAGGGUAGCGAGUAAGUGUGGGUGGGAUUUGGAUGUGCCAGGUCAGAGUUUGUAUCUGACCAGAGUAUUCCACAAGGGUUCAGAGGCAGGGCAUCAAUGUGAGUGAUUUGCAGUGGGGCAGGGGGGGGUAUCAGUUUUACAACAGACUAGGAGUUAGAGCAAGUCGUGCUCCCCUUAUCCCCAACAACAAUGAAGCUGUCGGAACCAUCAAGUCUCCAGCUCUAAAGCAGAGCAUCUUUUACAUUCAUGUAUGAGGGCAGAUGAUGCCUAGUUUAAUGCCUCAGCUAAAAAGGUGGCAUUAGACCUUCUGGAACCACUACAGUUCAGAUGGUGUUGAUGCACCACCAAUUGUCAGAUGACCUUUUUCACGAUUCAAACUGAAGAAAAUGAAGAUUAAGAUCUGUGCCUCAAUCAUCUGGUUUUGUUGGUUCAUCUGCAAGAGAUCCUGGAAGGGCAAUCCCACUGUGAUUCUAAAGUAGUGCCAACAUAUGUCCGAAUUUGGUUGACAUAUAAAUUGGAAAGAAACAUGGA